AAAGUGAUACCUUCAUAAAUCUUUCAUUGCUUUUCUGAACAAAUCAUCGCCUUCGAUGAAGAUGGGAAUAAAAAUAGCUGCUUCUGCAAUUGAUCUGAUUCGUGGAAGACGAACUGCGGCUAAAUCUUCGCUUGAAUUCGGACUGGUUUUGCUGUAAUGGCCACCAUCUUCAAGAGCCGAUACGAAUAUGCUGUCUUUUUUUAGAUGGGAAAUUUGAGACUGUGUGAACCUAAUGAUGUUAUGAUAUACUUUUGAGAUAUUAUCUACGAUGGUCGACAAGGGUAUUUCACGUAUGAAGAAUGUUGUCUUCAUUAAUGUGACGAUGAUGGUCGACAAGGGUUACCUGUGAAGAAUGUUGUAUGUUCGUCCAAUGAUAAGUAUUUCACCAAGAUGUUGUAUCUUUGAUAAAGAACGAACCGGUGAAGAAUGUGAAUGUGGUAUGUUCGAAGGGUAGUUAAAAAAAGUUAUACAGAUGUUGUACCUUACACGGAUGUUGUAGGGUUGACGGAGGAUAAGUUAUUACUAUGUUUUAUGGUCGACAAACAAAUGAUAAGUUAUUAUGUUUUAUGCUCGACAAAUGACAAAUAUUUUAUAUAGUUGAUAAAGGUAUUUCAUUUGUGAAGUAUGUUGUCUUUGUUCAUGACGAUCAAAAUGUGAUGAUCGAAGUGUGUUUUCGUUAAUGAUGUUGUCAUGUCUUUGACGAUGUUCGAUAAAUGUAUUUCACUUGUGAAUGAUGUUUUUGUGAAGUAUGUUGUCUUCGGUGUAACGCAUGUAAAAAUAUUAUCCAAAAUGAGAAAUGAUUCAUAAAAUUGAUGUC